UUUUAUUGCUGAAUCUUUCACACUCCGGAGAAGAGUACUGCUGUUGUCUGGUGGCUAAAAGCAAAAUCACAUAAAGAGGGAAGAGAAAGGAGAGUAAAACAAAGCUGUCUCUCACUCCCAGCUCGAUAACAAAUGCAGCAAGUGAUCUCGUAAGCACACCAGGUAGUGCCUCUGGGCUGGCACGAUGCCCACCUGUGCCAUCUGCUGAGCAUCAAACCUUCCUCUGCUUCCUAUCCUGCAGAACCUGCUGCAGCCGGGCUCUGCUUUUCUGCUGAAAUCACUGCGGCACACAGCCAGCCCAGGCAAAACUGCUCAUCGGACAAUCAGAAUUUGCCGUUCCCAUCUGCCACAAGCUGGGCUUUGGGCUGGAGAAGUAGCCGAAGGCUGCUGCUCUCCAAAGGAGCUCAGAAAUUAGGGUCUGUCUGCAUCACAGUACCAGGAGUUCAUUUAUCUCUUUUUGGAAAUGACAGUGUCCUAAAUGAACAUAGUGGAGAGCAUGGGCAGGCCAAUGAACACACCUUAAAACAAGUGGCUUCCCUCAGAUGAAUGAAGGGACACACUGUUUGCAAGCCUCAUUGCUGAGAGCUUCCUUGCAGUCCAUCUGCACGCCAAAAUGAAACUCCUUGAGACCCAGACAGGAGGAAGUCCUGCUUCAUUUCAUAUUCGUCUGGUAAUACCAGAUGCUGUUUGGCUGCUUUCUGGAAAAGUGCCUUCCUUCCCAGGGGUGGAGGAGCUGGUUCAGUCUUGCAUUUGUCUUUGGUGAGUGUGGGCAACUGGGCCAGUGGCACUGCUCCCACAAAUUGCCCAGCAGGAACCAUACAUGUGCUGGGACACAUCAUUUCUGCCCUUGAAAGGAGACAAGGAGAGUCCUGCCCAGGGUUCCCUGAAUCUCUGAGGAAGAAGCCAGGCUGCUUGUGCAGAGGACAAUGCUGCUGCCUGCUCUGCUUCUGUCCGGGGGUAGUCCUGCCCAUCUUUAAGCUAAUUAAAACUUCUGCUCAUUAUAGCAGUGUGGGUUUUGGCAAGGUCAUAAAUCAAUCACUGUCUUAGAAAUAUGAGCUGUCAUAAUUGUGCAUUGUCUAAAUGUGAACUAAUGAGUUAACGACUAUUCCAGCUGUUGU